UCGAUUCGCAUGUUGCUAUAG
ensembl:piRNA 21ur-5150 ncRNA